rnacentral:lncRNA from 1 species
CCAGAUGUUAAACCAUUGGUAGCUUGAAAUAGGCUGUAGUGGGAGUAUUUACACCACAGAAAUUGGCAAGUGCUGGAGAUUGGGAGAGCCAGGUUAGCAGCAAAUCACAAGACUAAGGUUUUCUCUUUCAUCUACUGCAGCUGCCUGAGACCUGGAUUUAAUCUCUAACAAAAAUUGAUGGAAGCAAUGCAAAAGUGAAAAAAAUGGCUGAGAAACACUGUGAUAGAAGGCUAGAUGACCCAGGUAGCAACAGAGUUUUGCAGUUACAAUCUUCAAUCAAGGAGACAUUAAAAUGAGAGCGGGAAAAUGCAAGGGCUUCACAACUAAUCAAGUUCCUGGGCUGGAAGUCAGGAAAAUAGAACACUAAUUUUCCAGCUUAGCAUGGACCGGGCUUGCUUGUUUGUCCAGAAAUCAACGGUCACCCACUGUUGUAGAAGUAUUCACUAAGUACAAAUGUGCUAGGCAUGGCUGAAGCAAGGAAAGAUGUACAAGAAACCUAAACAUUAAAUUGAGAGUCGCUACAGUGGUUGCUUCAAAUGAUCCCCUCUCAUUGCAAGCCAUUGGUAUCAACUUUGCCUCUAAGCUAGUGGUUUCCACUCGGAAUUUCCUAAAUUACAAAUGUAAAGGUAAAUUGGCGUGGGCACAUUCUGUGGUCUCCUUUCUACCAGCGUCUCUCUCUGUAAUAAACACUGUGGGCCAGGCGCAGUGGCUCAUGUGUGUAAUCUUAGUGUUUGGGAGGCCAAGGUGGGUGGAUUGCUUGAGGCCAGGAGUUUGAGACCAAC